AAGGCGGUAAGUCGCAUCGUUGCGGAAGCUAUUAUAUGUAUUGCGCGUAACUAUACACUAGUUGACAACACAAUCUGUUUGAAUUAAGAGAGAAAAUGAGCGCGUUGAUGAAAAGCGCUUCAACGGAAGAAAUCAUAAAUGAACAAACAUCGCCAUCGCAGAGGAAAAUUGGAAUCAUUGGUCGGAUGAAAAAGAAGCUGGCAAUAAGCUCCAGGCCAAACAGUUCCCAGUCAUGCUCGUCGCUAGAGAGCAAUGUCGACGCUCUCAGCAUCUCCCCGUGCGAGCACGAGCUGGAACUGUCGUCCGACAGCUCAAGCGAAGAGGAGGAGGACCACCCCCACAGGACAGUACCCCGAACCUGCCACAUCAAUGCUGUGUUCACAUUCGACAACGAUUCUUACCCUCGGGCAAAUUUGAUGCAGAUAUACGGAUGUGAAGGUAGACAGAAAGGAUGCUUCAAGGACGCGACCGAUGUGCAAUGUGUGGACAAAGGGAAGUGCAUAGUGACUGAUAUGAUCAACGGUCGUAUUUCGACCUUCAGCAGAAAUGGUCGCACGAAAGUCAUAAGAUGCAGUUGGGCACUGAGGGAACCGUGGGCUACGACCGUCGUCUCCGAAAACAAAAUCGCAGUCACGUCGAGAAAAGACAAGAACGUCUCUGUCAUUUCAAUGAAUGGGGACGUUCUCUUCUCGUUUGGUAGCCGAUUUUUUCAGUGUCCUUGUGGUAUUGCAGUGGACAAAAACGGUCGUUUCAUUGUAACAGAUAUCUUGUCGAAUGAGGUAUCGGUGUUUAGCCCUGAGGGCAAAUGGUUGUUUAACCUUGGGGACCCGCUUUCACCCGUCCAACAGUUCUGUUGUCCCCGCUACGUCCAUGUCAGUGCGUUCGGUGACAUCAUUGUGUGUGACUCUGGAAACCAUUGUAUUAAAGUCUUCAACGAACAUGGCAAUUUCAAGUUUACUUUUGGACAAUAUGGUCGACAGGAGGGAGCAUUCAAAGCCCCUUACGGCGUGACGUCAGACGGGGAGGGGAAUAUCAUUGUAGCAGACCAUUACAACGAUCGCAUUGCCUUGUUCUCGAAGAAUGGAGAAUUCUUAAGAAACAUUGUGAGUUCGGAGGACGGACUCUAUCACCCACAGGGGGUGGCAUUAUCUAGCGAUAUGCGAUUGUUUGUUACCCAUGGGAAACUGAAGGCCACUGAAGUUAUUGUGUAUUCAUUCAAUGACGAUGAAAAUGAAAUGCUGUAAAGAUGCUUGCGUUGCGAUAACCUAUUGUAAAGCUAGUCUCCUUAACAAACGAACCAUCAAACUAUUCACACAUGGAGUAAUUAAAAGUUUGGUUUGUGUCAUAAAACACACAUGUCUCAUUGAUAAUCUUAAUAUAUGUUGACAUCAUGUUGAUUUACAGAUUAAUUUUAAUUUGCAAAUGAUUAGAAUUCCAAGAACAUUAAACUUAAUUGUCCGACUUUUGUUACGAAGACAAAUAAUGGUACAUGGUAAAAGAAGAUUACAAAUUGCAUCUGGAUUUGCUUCAUUUUGAAAUAAUAAAAUGUCAAAUGAUACACAAUAUUAAAAAGCAAAGUUAUUC
rnacentral:misc_RNA from 1 species